CCUACGGGAGGCAGCAGUAGGGAAUAUUGCUCAAUGGGGGAAACCCUUAAGCAGCAACGCCGCGUGGAGGAUGAAGUUUUUCGGAUUGUAAACUCCUUUUGUUAGAGAAUAUAAUGACGGUAUCUCACGAAUAAGCCCCGGCUAACUCCGUGCCAGCAGCAGCGGUAAUACGGGCGGGGCAAGCGUUCGUCGGAAUCACUGGGCGUAAAGAGCGCGUAGGCGGGAUAGCAAGUCAGAUGUGAAAGCCUAUGGCUUAACCAGCGCACUGCAUUUGAAACUGUUAUUAUGGAGUAUAGGAGAGGUAGGUGGAAUUCUUGGUGGAGGGGGAAAAUCCGUAGAGAUCAAGAGGAAUACUCAGUGCGAAGGCGACCUGCUAGAACAUAACGGACGUUGAUGCGCGAAAGCGUGGGGAGCAAACAGGAUUAGAUACCCGUGUAGUC
rnacentral:rRNA from 1 species